GACGGAGGAUGCAAGCGUUAUCCGGAAUUACUGGGCGUAAAGCGUGCGCAGGCGGUUCGUUAAGUCAGAUGUGAAAGCCCCGGGCUCAACCUGGGAACUGCAUUUGAAACUGGCGGGCUUGAGUAUGGCAGAGGGGGGUGGAAUUCCGCGUGUAGCAGUGAAAUGCGUAGAGAUGCGGAGGAACACCGAUGGCGAAGGCAGCCCCCUGGGCUGACACUGACGCUGAGGCACGAAAGCGUGGGGAGCAAACAGG
rnacentral:rRNA from 1 species